rnacentral:misc_RNA from 1 species
CCAAUAGCGUAUAUUAAAGUUGUUGCAGUUAAAAAGCUCGUAGUUGAAUUUCGGGAUCGAAUUGUUGGUCGUGCUUCGGUACGCACUGGCAUUAUUGGUUCCUACCUUCUGAAGAACCGCGAUGUCAUUAAUUUGGCGUCGUGGGGAAUCAGGACUGUUACUUUGAAAAAAUUAGAGUGUUUAAAGCAGGCUUACGCUUGAAUACAUUAGCAUGGAAUAAUGAAAUAGGACGUUUGAUUCUAUUUUGUUGGUUUCUAGGAUCGACGUAAUGAUUAAUAGGGAUAGUUGGGGGCAUUAGUAUUCAAUUGUCAGAGGUGAAAUUCUCGGAUUUAUUGAAGACUAACUACUGCGAAAGCAUUUGCCAAGGAUGUUUUCAUUAAUCAAGAACGAAAGUUAGGGGAUCGAAGACGAUCAGAUACCGUCGUAGUUCUGACCAUAAACGAUGUCGACUAGCGAUCCGCGGUCGUUGUUCAUAUGACCUCGCGGGCAGCCUUCA